rnacentral:lncRNA from 1 species
AGGCCGAACAUCUUUGUGCGAUUGUGAGCAACCUGAAGGAGCAUCUAUCCAAGUGUUGGACCAGUAAAGAUCAAUAGUUUACAGUUCGAUCAUGGUUUCUGAACUUGUUUGAUUAUUUUUGAUAGAUCUAAGGGUUAGAUCUAGAUUGCAGCAUUGAUUAGAUCGAUGUAAAUUUUUAUUUUCAGAUCUUAAGUGCAUGUUAAAUCAUAUUAUAGG